rnacentral:rRNA from 1 species
UAGGGAAUCUUCGGCAAUGGACGAAAGUCUGACCGAGCAACGCCGCGUGAGUGAAGAAGGUUUUCGGAUCGUAAAACUCUGUUGUUAGAGAAGAACAAGGACGUUAGUAACUGAACGUCCCCUGACGGUAUCUAACCAGAAAGCAACGGCUAACUACGUGCCAGCAGCCGCGGUAAUACGUAGGUGGCAAGCGUUGUCCGGAUUUAUUGGGCGUAAAGCGAGCGCAGGCGGUUUCUUAAGUCUGAUGUGAAAGCCCCCGGCUCAACCGGGGAGGGUCAUUGGAAACUGGGGGACUUGAGUGCAGAAGAGGAGAGUUGAAUUCCAUGUGUAGCGGUGAAAUGCGUAGAUAUAUGGAGGAACACCAGUGGCGAAGGCGGCUCACUGGUCUGUAACUGACACUGAGGCUCGAAAGCGUGGGGAGCAAACAGG